CCGAGUUUACAACUCCCAAACCCAUGUGAACAUACCUAUCGUUGCUUCGGCGGGAUCGCCCCGGGUGCCCUGCGUGCCCCGGACCCAGGCGCCCGCCAAAGGACCUUAACUCUUGUAUUAUUUUGGAAUCUUCUGAGUCGUUUUUACAAAUAAAUAA
rnacentral:misc_RNA from 1 species